AGAGUUUGAUCAUGGCUCAGAACGAACGCNGGCGGNNCGUUUUAAGCAUGCAAGUCGAGCGGUAUGUCAGUGCUUGCACUGACAGAGAGCGGCGAACGGGUGAGUGACGCGUAGGUGAUCUGCCUUUCGGUUGGGGAUAGCCCAUGGAAACAUGGGGUAAUACCGAAUGAGAUCUUUGUGCUUUGGUGCAAAGAUGAAAGAGGCUACGGCCUCGCCGAGAGAUGAGCCUGCGUCUGAUUAGCUAGUUGGUGUGGUAAAGGCGCACCAAGGCGACGAUCAGUAGCCGGCCUGAGAGGGUGACCGGCCACAUUGGGACUGAGACACGGCCCAGACUCCUACGGGAGGCAGCAGCUAAGAAUCUUCCGCAAUGGGCGAAAGCCUGACGGAGCGACGCCGCGUGGGUGAAGAAGGCCGAGAGGUUGUAAAGCCCUUUUCUCACUGAAGGAUAAUUUCAAUAGGGAAUGAUUGAGAGAUGACGUUAGGUGAGGAAUAAGCUCCGGCCAAUUACGUGCCAGCAGCCGCGGUAACACGUAAGGAGCGAGCGUUGUUCGGAAUUAUUGGGCGUAAAGGGCUCGUAGGCGGUUUUGUAAGUCUGGCGUGAAAUAACGAGGCUCAACCUCGGAGACGCGCCGGAAACUGCAAGGCUUGAAUCUUGGAGGGGGUACUGGAAUUCCCGGUGUAGGGGUGAAAUCUGUUGAUAUCAGGAAGAACACCUGAGGCGAAGGCGAGUACCUGGCCAAAGAUUGACGCUGAUGAGCGAAAGCGUAGGGAGCGAACAGGAUUAGAUACCCUGGUAGUCUACGCCGUAAACGAUGUGCACUUGAUGGUGGUGCCGUACGGUAUCACUGUCGUAGCUAACGCGUUAAGUGCACCGCCUGGGGAGUAUGCCGGCAACGGUGAAACUCAAAUGAAUUGACGG
rnacentral:rRNA from 1 species